rnacentral:misc_RNA from 1 species
CUUCGGUCUGGGCUAGUAGCUUUUUGUUUUAAACCCAUUCUACAAUACUGAUUAUACUGUGGGGACGAAAGUCUCUGCUUUUAACUAGAUAGCAACUUUCAGCAGUGGAUGUCUAGGCUCGCACAUCGAUGAAGAACGCUGCGAACUGCGAUACGUAAUGCGAAUUGCAGGAUUCAGUGAGUCAUCGAAAUUUUGAACGCAUAUUGCACUUCCGGGUUAGUCCUGGGAGUAUGCCUGUAUCAGUGUCCGUACAUCAAACUUGGCUUUCUUCCUUCCGUGUAGUCGGUGGAGGAUGUGCCAGAUGUGAAGUGUCUUGCAGGUGUCCUUCGGGUCGUCUGCGAGUCCUUUGAAAUGUACUGAACUGUACUUCUCUUUGCUCGAAAAGCGUGGCGUUGCUGGUUGUGGAGGCUGCCUGCGUGGCCAGUCGGCGACCGGUUUGUCUGCUGCGGCGUUUAAUGGAGGAGUGUUCGAUUCGCGGUAUGGUUGGCUUCGGCUGAACAGGCGCUUAUUGUAUGCUUUUCCUGCUGUGGCGUGAUGGACUGGUGAACCGUAGCUGUGUGUGGCUUGGCUUUUGAAUCGGCUUUGCUGUUGCGAAGUAGAGUGGCGGCUCCGGCUGUCGAGGGUCGAUCCAUUUGGGAACUUUGUGUGCACCUCGGUGCGCAUCUCAA